rnacentral:lncRNA from 1 species
AAGAUGGCGGUGGGUAUACCCGGUUUGCCCAUCAAAUCCGCCCAGCCUACCCAUUUUGGAAAAUAGGCUACCCGGAUCACCCAUGGGCGACUAUUUUUGGCGACGAUCAGCAGGUAACCCGGGUUUUCGAGAACCGGGGCCGAGCCCUAGGCGCUCAAUGACCAAACUAAACAAUCGACCUCAGUUGGCAACAUCCGAACAUCGUGAUUAAGCUUACGAAUGAAAUUUGAAGCAAAGAUUCUGGUUCAGACACGUGUCUACUGCUGUACCAAAGUGUUUCGAUAGCUCAAGUUUAAUGGAAGACAUUUUUGGGAGGCGUAUCUGAAACAAUGUUUAAACUGUAGAUCAGCUAAAGAAGAAGAUGUAAGAAAAGAAAUGGCUGAGAAAAGGAAAUUUUAGCUGUAAGGACUGUACAAUACUGCAGAGGUUCCUGUUAAUUAUCUACUUCAUGUUUCGUUGUUUUUGGGAGCGUGGGAAAUGUGAUAUUUGCCACACACUCAAACAGACGAAUGAUAACAAGAACAUGGAGGAGUAGAGUGUUAUUUGUGCUGGAGCAGAUAAAGAAAUUAAAGUUGGACAUCAAAAACUAGGCUUUACUUCAUGCACAAUGUGAUUUGGUUACCAGCUGUGCAGAACAGACAUAGUCCAUCCUCAAAAAGCGAAGAUUAAAAUGAACUGGAAUUCCCAGAUGACCCAUUUUAGAGUAACUGGGUUCUCCAGAUCUGACCAGAACGUUGAUUACCGACCUAGCGUGGGGAACAAGAAAUUAACGUUUCGUCGAUCAUCCGUGAAUCGCAGACUUUUCCCCUGUGGAGAAGUCAAGGUUCUGCAACGUCCCCUCACAUCAGCCUGCUGAGUGUAAAAGACACCUCUGUGGUUGAAAACUAAAUAAGCUAACCAUGGGAACGAGAGCGACGGCUCUACGGAAGUAAACCUCGGCUUCAACAAUCCGUCUGGCGUCGUGUAGAGCGUGAGCGGCAGCCACGGUCCACGCAAUGCUGUCAGGUUCGAUUUGAACGGCCUGGAUGUACACCUCUGCGGCUUCGUCAUGCCUCUUCCGGGCAGAUAGGAAUUCGCCUGUCAAAUUACAUGACGGCGGAUUGAUUUCUAUGCCGGAUCGGUACAGGUGUUCCUCGUCGAUCCAGUCGUUGUUCCUUUGGAUCGUUCGCCGUCCCGAAGCCAAUAAAACAAUCAGCAACGAAAAGCAGAUGAUUGUUCGAUUCGACUGCUGGACCAGUAAUUUUUGCACCCCGAUUCCGACGAGGAGACAGAAACCGACCGAAGUCUUACGGACGACCGUGACGAGAAUUGCGUAGAAAAUUAGCGUAGCCAUAUUGCGGAUGUCAUUGAUGCAAGUGACGGGCUGGAUGGCGUCCAUGGACCAAUCGAAACUGAGCCAUCGCGGAUACAGCAGCAGACCAAAAUGAAAUACCUAAGCUACUGGUAAAUAGAGAAAUGUGAGGGUACGAGUUGUCCAUGACGACGAUGCAGCUGUUGGGUUGUCCGCCUUAGCAAAUUGCGGUGUCUGGAAGCCGGAUAUCCAAAAGCGAUUGUCGAGGAUGGCCGUGAAUGACGAGGACGACGUCGUAAAGGAGACAGAUGGGCGUCAACAUGAUGCCGUACUCUUUGCUGAAGAAAGCGGCACAAGUCAAAACCAACGUCAUCGUUAAACUAGCCCGUCUACCGUAGUUGACAAGGCCGGCUAGGACGAAGAAAGUGCAUAGCAAAUCUGCCCGUCCGACCAAUCCAGCCACAGCUUCGCAAUGGAUCGGGAAUAAUGUUGAUGCUCCUCCGGCUAUGAUGGUCACCGCUGCAGUAAUCACACAGUGAAGCAAGACGUUUGUCCAAUGGUACCAAUAGGCAUGAUUUACUCCGACCAGAUGUGCGGUCCAGCGAAAUGAUAGCGUUACCAAAGGGCGGUACGAUCCGUGCGAUUCGGAAGCGUUGAGCGGAGUGCCCCAAAAGUCAUGCACCAUCAGAGCGCUCAUGGUGGACGACUCGGAAGCAACGGUUUAUGGUUGUCUAAUAAAACGAAAAAGGAGCAGCCGUGGCAGUGAUACUGUGAUGAGCAUUUAGAUAUCAGUUAAACGGCCGUACAAAAUACGCAACGGAAGGCCACAGUCGAAGAAUGCUCUAUGGCUAGCGGAAUAAAAAUAUUUCCUCUUGAAUAUAUCAUAGCCGGCAGCGGAAAAAAAAUGGCUCGUGUGGAGAAUUGUUGUUGCUGGCAUUCGAUUGAGACUAAUCAAAAGGUAUGCCCCAGGCUGUGAUGAUCGUCCUAUCACGUCGCCUGAACGAACCCUGCAGGCAGUUUCCCGUCAACGCCGUUGAGUGACGAGGAUAGAAUUUCGUGGGAAAGUUCUGUUGGCCGCCAAAUUCGGUGACAUCUAGGGGAGAAGCCAGCAACUCCUUAAAAGUUACAUUGGCAUGUCAUUCACUGUCGCCUGCCGUUGACUGAGGAUGGUGGUCAAAAUGGAUGUCGCCUUCAUUGAAAUUUAUCAUCUACCGAUUCUGUUUGUCUAGAGGUCUCCCAGAUGUACCUGACUGUGUUGGCCAUGUGAUCACCCUGUGCCAGAAACGACUACAACUAUUUUUAUAUUGUAGUGUAAAUAAAAUAUAUCCACAACAA